rnacentral:lncRNA from 1 species
GAGAACCGUUGCCGGCAUCCGGAGGAUCUCACCGAACCCGGAGAUUUUCAGAACUUCCGAUUUGGUAAACGAUUCACCUCUAUCUUCCUCCAUGAGUUCCCUUUUUGUAGAUUUUUCGGUUGAGUUUGUUUUCGUAUGAUUUUAUGUCGUGUGGCUCGAAAUUAUGAGAAGGAGAAAGAGGGAAGUGGUUCAUGAAACAAAGUUAGGGAAGAGAGAGAGUGAAGCGACGGAGAAGAGCGGAGGCUCCGCCGUGAGCCGCCGCCUCCGAUCGUCUUCUCCAAGAGAGAAGAAAUUUAGGGUUCGUGAAAGGAGGCGCUCUAUACAGAGCCCUUUCGUUUGAGUUU